CUGGAGGAGUCCGUGGAGCCCAGGUCAGGACCUGGCUCCAAGCCCAUCUCCAUUUGCAGAUGCCCAGGUCUUGGCAUCCCAGAGGAAACACAAGCUCCCUGGCAGAAGGGACGGCAUCUUAAAUCCAACCCCAAUGACCCACAGUCUCAUCUGAGCACCCCAGUUUGAACCAUAAAUUAUACUGUCACUGUUGGGGCUGAGUUGCUCAGGACACCUAGGAAAGUCGUUAGAGAUUGCGCUAGAAAAGAGGACAGGCUAGAAGAGGCUGCUGAUGGGGAGCGAGGGGCAUGCUUCCUGAGGAACUGUCUCGUAUUUCUGCUGACUGCAGGGUGGCAUCUCUCCUGGAUCCCCCAAAGUCUUCGCUCAAGAUUCAUCUUUACAGUAAAAUUACUGCUGACAUCUGUCUGGGAGAAGAUUCAGCCUCAACAUGCUGCAAGGAGGAAUCACAGGCACCCUUUUCCAGCUUGGUCCAGAGGAAUUAUUCUCAGCAAAGUCUGGGACUGGCCUGAAGGAGACAGACAUCUCCAGGUAGAGGGAGCAUCCUGCUGUUCUCUGGUAAAUCAAAGAGGAACAGGCGGCUCCUGCCCCCCUCAUGCCUGGCCUGACCCCAGCCUUUCAUGUGCAGCGGCCACAGGGAGGAGAGAACGCACAAAACCAGAACAAACCCCCCAAAGUAAAGGCUUAAAAUGAAACCAUUUCACAGGGACAAUACUCUGUUCUUCUUUAAACUCUACCCAAGAACAAAUGGGAGUCUUUUUUUCAGUGGAAAGACUGGAUUUGGGCUUUUAUCCUCA
ensembl:lncRNA